CUUGGGUUGUAAACCUCUUUUCUCAGGGAAGAAAACGGCCGGUCCCGGAGAAAAAACCCCCGCCUACUUCCUGGCCACCACCCCCGUUAUAACGAAGGAGCCAACGUUUUUCCGAAUUUAUGGGGCGUAAACCGUCCUCAGGUGGUUUUUCAGUUCUGUUUUCAAACAGCGAGGCUUACCCUUGUACUGGGGAUGGAACUUGAAAGACUAAAUUUCGGUAGGGGUAGAGGGAUUUCCAGGGGUGACGUGGAAUUGCGUAAAUUUCUGAAAAAAAACCAUGGGCAAAGCCGCUCUCUGGGGCCUGAACUGACCCUGAGGGACAAAACCUGGGGGACCAAAAGGAAUUAAAUCCCCGUGUAUUCCCACCCUUAAACAAGGGAAACAAGGUGUUGCGCGUAUC
rnacentral:rRNA from 1 species